CAUGGAAACUUCAGUUCCACAGACCAAAACUACUCCACCUCCUCCCUGCCUAUCGGAUGAUUUCCCUCCACCACAGGGUUGCCAAAGGGCCCAGAAUUGGUUCGAUUCACCUCCACCACAGGGUUGCCAAAGGGCCCAGAAUGUCUUCCAUUCACCUCCACCACAGGGUUUCCAAAGGGCCAAGGAUUUCAAAUAUUCAGGUUAUCCAGGUACAACUACCAAAGCUGGGCCUGGAAUAUCAGACACUGCCCUGGCUCACAUUCUCAGACCUCUCUCACCGAUGUGUGUGCCGGAAGAUUAUGGUGAAUGGGACUCUGUUGGGAUCACAUGUCCACCCCUGGGACUUCUACGUUUGUUGACUCUUCCCCUGGACAUUUUAAGGCUUUUUUUUAGGCUAUUUUGCCAGAAAAAAAGGAUGCAGUGGAGCAUAGCAUACUUAGAAAAAAACUAACACGUGGAGGACGUGAGCUGAUGCUGGCUGCUGGCACAAUGUCAGAUCCAGACAUAUCCCUUAGGAGGUGGGUGGACUUGAGCUAUCAUUUCAUCAGCAACAGGCCUGGCUAUCUCCAAGACAGAUUCAAUCUCAUGUUAUCACUUUAGCUAUCUGGAUUAUCUCACUAAUCUCGAAAUCCAAAAUGAUAUAGUAACAGGUCACUGAAAACGUACACAUAAAGAGAUUAGUGGUCAUCAAAGUAUGUAGGUUUGCAUUAGAGUAAUUUCAAGUCCAGAUCAAACAGUUCCUCAAAGAGAAGGACAACAUGACAUGGUUGACCCACAUCAGAGUAACUGCAUAACUCAAGGCGAUGUAGAGUUUCUGAGUGGCCAAAGACAUGGCAAGCUGUUGUGUUUGAAAAGGAAAGGAAUCUCCGGUACACUGGUUCUCGUAUGAUCCACAAUGUGUAUAAUGGAUCUCAAAACUCCCCUCUGUUUUCUAUAUAUAGCAUCCAUUACAUUUCAAUCAAUCAAAGAAAUACACCAAACCACUCACAUAAGAAUACAAGUAAAAUGUAUGAGCUUUUAUCUGAGGAUCAAUUGUAUAUUAAGUUGGACCUGUUUCAUUUAGCACAAGUGAAACCAAACUCUUAUCUGUGCUCCAUCCAGUUCAGUAGAAACACAUUUGUUUCCAUCAACAAAGGAUAAAUGCUUACUGCCUCAUUACUCACAUGGCUGCUGAUGUGACC